CGGGGCGUUGCCUAGCGGCCAUGGCACCUGCUUUGGGAGCAGGAUAUCGGAGGUUCGAGUCCUCUCGCCCCGA
rfam:Spirochaeta coccoides DSM 17374, complete genome.